UACGAAGGGGGGCUAGCGUUGCUCGGAAUCACUGGGCGUAAAGGGUGCGUAGGCGGGUCUUUAAGUCGAGGGUGAAAUCCUGGAGCUCAACUCCAGAACUGCCUUUGAUACUGAGGAUCUUGAGUUCGGGAGAGGUGAGUGGAACUGCGAGUGUAGAGGUGAAAUUCGUAGAUAUUCGCAAGAACACCAGUGGCGAAGGCGGCUCACUGGCCCGAUACUGACGCUGAGGCACGAAAGCGUGGGGGAGCAAACAGG
rnacentral:rRNA from 1 species